rnacentral:tRNA from 1 species
GGUGCUGUGGCACAGUAGGUUAAUGUCCUGGCCUGAAAUGCCAGCAUCAUAUAUGGGUGCUGGUUCGAGUCCUGGCUGCUCCA